GGAGACAUACUCCCUUGGCUCAAAUCCUACCUCUAUCAUUUUUCUAACUGCAUUACCUUGGAUGAGUGACCUAACCCUCUGUGUAGUAGAAGCCCCAUAUGCAAAAGGGGUACAACAAUGGUACCUGUUUCAUAGGACUGUUGUGAGGAUCACAAGAGUUACCAUGGCUGAGGUCCUUAGAACAUCGCCGGGGGCACCAUGGGUCCUGUAUGAAUGAGACUUGGUGUUCACAAGGGCAACUCCUUUAGCCAAAUCUCAGCCUAUGAUUUGAAGAAUCCCCGGGACAUGUAUUGACUCAGAGCUCUUUCAAUACACGAGAGAAAGACAUCAGCUCACACUUCUGUUCUCUGAUCUGAUCAAGCGAGUAGUUACAGACUAGAAGUCUGCAGUGUGGGCAAGUCAGGGCCAGAAGCACAGAACCUCACAAUCAAGAUGUGGAGGUGAGAGGUAAACGUGUGACUUGCUGACAGAAAGAGAGGAGUGAGUCAUGCUCAGGAUAGUGACCAGGACAGUGUCAAAGGGCAGCACGUGAUUAACACCCAGAUACUUCGACAAACAGUUAGAGGCAUAGGAUUUGAACAAAGCAUCAGUGGACCACCUACUUAGAGAAGACCUCUAAGAACCAACUAGAACUUUCCGAGAUUAUAGUUGUGUCCAGAAGUCCGAUGGGCUACAAAAUCCGCAUAUAUUCAGGCAGCCCAGCAAGUCAGUGACAACAUUCCCAUAAAGAGAAGGAUAUGGAAAACCUUGAAGUUUGUUGCAAAGGAAAAGAAUUUAAGAGGAACUUGACCUACCAGAUUUGGUGUUGAUACAAGGAUAAUGACAAGGAUUGAUGGAACAAAUCCAGAUGCACAAAUUAAUGUGCCAUCUGUAUUAAGAAUGGACAGUUAAACCCAAACCAGAAAUAAGUCCAAUUUUCCAUAGCGAUGACGAUGACAUAGGACGCUUAAAUGUUACAAGUCUUGGGAUCCAUAUGAAUAAAACUAUGAAAAGAAUGAAACAAUAAGAUACAUAGCACAAAAAAAGCGGGGAGCACUGAGGUUCCUAGAAGAGGAAGUAUACUGUCCAGGCACUACCCCUGCUCGGUGCAGUGAGCAGACUCCUUCCAGAAGUCCCCACUCCCAGGCAGAGAAGAUCCUGCGUGACACCGUCUGCAGCCGGGGUAUCGGGAGAGACUGCCACAUGCCUGGGUGGCAGCACCUGCUUCAUCUCCUGAGCGGCUCAGCCUGGCUUCUUUCCUCUUGGUAGGAGGAGAGUGCCUGACCUGUAAGAUGUAACCUGAGCUCAUGGCAGCCAUCUCGGCCAUUAGGAGAGAAAAGCCUUCCUACUAACUGAGCCAGAAGAGAUGAAAGAAAGGCGGAGAGAUGGAAUGCACAAGGCAGACGCCCCGGUCCAGCUGUACCUGAACUCCACUUAUCCCUCGAUGCUUUCAUCACGAGAUCCAAUGGAUUCUUUGUUGUAAGACAACAAAGACUACAUACUAAGGUAGAAUUUCAAGAUACUACUUAGAAAUAGUAUCUUGUCACCUGAAACUGAAAGCUUUCUACUAUGGCUUUACUUCCUGGAUCCGUAGAGUAGCACACAGGGCGUGGGGAGACGCUGUGAGGACAUCCACUGGCCCUGGGCUCCACCCGGCUGGUCACCUGCCCUUUAACAGCCCGUCUGCCCUGCACUGCCCAGCCUCCUUUCCUCAGCCUCUGCCCAGCUACUUCCAACCUGUUUCUCACUCCCUCUCCUCCCCUUUGUCCAUCUGAGCCUGAGACCCCUUCAUAGCCCCCAAGACAACUCCACAGCUCCCGAAGAUGAGUAUUGUGAUAUGCGGCAG